GACGAACGCUGGCGGCGUGCUUAACACAUGCAAGUCGAGCGGUAAGGCUCCUUCGGGAGUACACGAGCGGCGAACGGGUGAGUAACACGUGAGCAAUCUGCCCUUCACAUCGGAAUAACUUCGGGAAACCGAAGCUAAUACCGGAUACGACCAUCGGUGGCAUCAUCUGAUGGUGGAAAGUUCUGGCGGUGGAGGAUGAGCUCGCGGCCUAUCAGCUUGUUGGUGGGGAAUGGCCCACCAAGGCGACGACGGGUAGCCGGCCUGAGAGGGUGACCGGCCACACUGGGACUGAGACACGGCCCAGACUCCUACGGGAGGCAGCAGUGGGGAAUAUUGGACAAUGGGCGAAAGCCUGAUCCAGCAACGCCGCGUGAGGGAUGACGGCCUCGGUU
rnacentral:rRNA from 1 species